UCCCGCGUAGCUCAAUUGGCAGAGCAUCCGACUGUUAAUCGGAGGGUUGUUGGUUCGAGUCCAACCGCGGGAG
rnacentral:tRNA from 1 species